GAUGAAGAACGCAGCGAAAUGCGAUAAGUAAUGUGAGUUGCAGAAUUCAGUGAAUCAUCGAAUCUUUGAACGCACAUUGCGCCCCCUGGUAUUCCGGGGGGCAUGCCUGUUCGAGCGUCAUUUCACCACUCAAGCCUCGCUUGGUAUUGGGCAACGCGGUCCGCCGCGUGCCUCAAAUCGACCGGCUGGGUCUUCUGUCCCCUAAGCGUUGUGGAAACUAUUCGCUAAAGGGUGUUCGGGAGGCUACGCCGUAAAACAACCCCAUUUCUAAGGUUGACCUCGGAUCAGGUAGGGAUACCCGCUGAACUUAAGCAUAUCAAUAAGCGGAGGA
rnacentral:misc_RNA from 1 species